GACGAACGCUAGCGGGAGGCCUAACACAUGCAAGCCGAGCGGUAUUGUUUCUUCGGAAAUGAGAGAGCGGCGUACGGGUGCGUAACACGUGUGCAACCUGCCUUUAUCUGGGGGAUAGCCUUUCGAAAGGAAGAUUAAUACUCCAUAAUAUAUUGAACGGCAUCGUUUAAUAUUGAAAGCUCCGGCGGAUAGAGAUGGGCACGCGCAAGAUUAGCUAGUUGGUGAGGUAACGGCUCACCAAGGCGAUGAUCUUUAGGGGGCCUGAGAGGGUGAUCCCCCACACUGGUACUGAGACACGGACCAGACUCCUACGGGAGGCAGCAGUGAGGAAUAUUGGUCAAUGGGUGCAAGCCUGAACCAGCCAUCCCGCGUGAAGGACGACUGCCCUAUGGGUUGUAAACUUCUUUUGUAUAGGGAUAAACCUACCCUCGUGAGGGUAGCUGAAGGUACUAUACGAAUAAGCACCGGCUAACUCCGUG
rnacentral:rRNA from 1 species